CCUACGGGAGGCAGCAGUGGGGAAUUUUGGACAAUGGGCGAAAGCCUGAUCCAGCAAUGCCGCGUGAGUGAAGAAGGCCUUCGGGUUGUAAAGCUCUUUUGUCAGGGAAGAAACGGUGAGAGCUAAUAUCUCUUGCUAAUGACGGUACCUGAAGAAUAAGCACCGGCUAACUACGUGCCAGCAGCCGCGGUAAUACGUAGGGUGCAAGCGUUAAUCGGAAUUACUGGGCGUAAAGCGUGCGCAGGCGGUUUUGUAAGUCUGAUGUGAAAUCCCCGGGCUCAACCUGGGAAUUGCAUUGGAGACUGCAAGGCUAGAAUCUGGCAGAGGGGGGUAGAAUUCCACGUGUAGCAGUGAAAUGCGUAGAUAUGUGGAGGAACACCGAUGGCGAAGGCAGCCCCCUGGGUCAAGAUUGACGCUCAUGCACGAAAGCGUGGGGAGCAAACAGGAUUAGAUACCCGUGGUACGUCCACGCCCUAAACGAUGUCUACUAGUUGUCGGGUCUUAAUUGACUUGGUAACGCAGCUAACGCGUGAAGUAGACCGCCGUGGGGAGUACGGUCGCGAAGAUUAAAACCGUCGAAAGUAGUAGUAGGACGUGAGAGUUGCGACGGAGGCACGAGGGAGGAGG
rnacentral:rRNA from 1 species